UGGACAAACAUCUGUUAUCUUUUAUCAUCGAGUGCCCCUCAUUCACUCGACAUUCACUGACAAGAUGGACUAACAGUACCAUUUACAGAAGGACAAAAACAGCGGUAAACUUCGCCAAGUCCAUCCUGAGAUGCAGACUACAGCAGGAAUUCACGACGCCAAGUUGUGGAAGGAUCGGGGUGUGCAUGCGAGUUUUUCACGCAAGAAAAAUAAGCAUUGAAUGCAGCAGCAUCGUAGCCUGGGUGCCAUCCGAAUUUGUAACGGCUACGGGCAAAUUCGGAU